rnacentral:lncRNA from 1 species
AGCAGGGCCUUCCCAAGUGACCCACUGCUACCGAGCCCUAAGGGACCGGUGACUUGCACGUGGGUCCUUUUGCCCAGAGCCACUCCCGCUAAUAGAAUGAGACUGGACUUGGAACAGCAGAGCAGAAACGUUAUUCAUUGAUCAACAAACAGAGGCCGAGUUCAUGCCGUAAAACUCCUUCUCCCGGAAGGGAAGAACACUGGCUCGGGAGUGUUACCCUUUAGCAGACCCAGUCAGGGAGUGAAAUCCAGAAGGAAGCGAGUGCUCACCGUUUCCAAGAUAAUCAUCCGCUGAGUGACCUUCAGAGGUACAGCCACCCCUCUGCCAUCACAUGAUCAGACAAAUCCAAUACCUCCAGCCAAGGCUCCUGUUGGACAGCUGU